UUGUUGAUAAUUAGGACUGCCACCAUUGUAUCCACCUUGAUACCCCUGGUUUGGACCAUAUCCUUGGUUUGGGCCAGCAGGGUUGCCUCCCUGAUAACCUGGAUUACCUUGGUAACCAGGUCCAGUAGGCGGGUAACUGUUCUGGGGAUUAGGCAUCUGGUUUGGAUAAGCUCUCGGAGGGCCGCCACUGUUGAACUCCCGGUUUGGAGUCGGAGGGACGCCACUAUUGGGCAUCAGAGGGCCAUUCUGAAGAGUGCUGCCCUGCAUCGGAGGCAUGUUCCUGGGAGGCAUAGUACUGGGAGGCAUAGUACUGGGAGGGCCAGACAUUGGAGGAGCGCUGUUUGGCAUAGGAGGUGCAUCACGUGGUGGUACUGGGUUCUGAAAGUCCUGAUUUGGUGGAGGGGGCCUGCUCUGAUAGUUCUGCUGCAUGUUCUCCCUUCGUCUGUCAAAAUUCCGUGAUCUAUCGUUGUUACGUGGUCUGUCAUUUCGCCUAUUCCGUUCAUUUGCACGGGCAUUGUUCCGGACCCAUUCCUCAUGGUAUUUUGGAUCAUAAGGAACAGCUUGUCCAUCUAUGAAUGGCU
rnacentral:misc_RNA from 1 species